CACCUCUCAGGGUCACACCUGGAGAGUUUCUAGUACUCUACCAGUCUCAACUAAGGGAGGGAGAGUCAAGUAGAGGCAUAUCCAUUCCAUCUCUAGCUUGCCCAAUGGCUAGGGAGUGGAAAGCAAUCUGCUACAAGU